UUGCUCACUUUGGCAGCACAUAUACAAAAAUUGGAAUGAUACAGAGAAGAUUAGCAUGGCCCCUGUGCAAGGAUGAUAUGCAAAUUCAUGAAGCAUUCCAUAUUUUU
ensembl:snRNA U6 U6 spliceosomal RNA